AACAAAGAAGCAGAGGAGGCAGGCCAUACAAUCAAAAAUAAUAUAAUACAACUCAAAAUGAAGGAAAUCAACAAAAAGAGAGUCCUAAAGAUAAUCCAUGUCAGAUUUGUGGAAGGAACAAUCAUACAACACUUUUUUGCUUUUACAGAUGGGAUUACUGUUAUCAAUCACAACAAGAAGUUCCUCAGGAACGUGCUUUGAUGGCG
rnacentral:lncRNA from 1 species